rnacentral:lncRNA from 9 species
CUCUCCAGGACUACGCUAGGGACAGAGGAGGUCCUGGAAGCCAGACUUGUAUGCCUGGGGCUCAGCAGGAAGACUCUGUCUGUCUUCUGGGAUGCAGGAGGUAAAACUAUCUUUUCGGGGGAUUGAUGCCUAUUUAAGAGCAGGAACAUGCAGUGUGUCCCUCAUUUCUUCUCCAGGGUUCCUUUUCUCUAGGACCAAGAACUUUUUGCAUGAAAAAAGUAGAACAACUCUACAUGUGGGAGAGAGUAAUAGAACAUUUUAGAGACUCAAGCAUUGUCUCAAAGAAGAUGGAAGAAUGAAACACAAGGCUGUCUUAUUUUACAUGAAAGCUGCCCCAUGGAAAAGCAUGGACAAUAUAAACUUGCAACAAUAUUUUUGAGGAAGCAUGGUAAUUAAAAAUUCUCAACUAUGAAGAGUCUAAUGACCCCUAAAUUCUUCUUUCUGUAAUCUAGUUUAAUGCUGAUUAUCUAUUUCCUUUUCCUAUAAAAUGUCGCUACC